CCCCUAGAUGUUCUGGGCCGCACGCGCGCUACACUGAACAGUUCAACAAGUCUUAACCUUGGCCGAUAGGUCUGGGUAAUCUUUGAACGCUGUUCGUGAUUGGGAUAGACCUUUGCAAUUAUGGGUCUUCAACGAGGAAUUCCUAGUAAACGCAAGUCAUCAGCUUGCAUUGAUUACGUCCCUGCCCUUUGUACACACCGCCCGUCGCACCUUCCGAUUGAAUGGUCCGGUGAAAUCUCGGGACGGCGGCUUGGUCGCUUGCGUCCGACUGCUGAAACUUGAUUAAACCAUAUCAUUUAGAGGAAGGAGAAGUCGUAACA
rnacentral:rRNA from 1 species